UCCCCCUUUGUCGAUGGCAUAUAUGUUUUAACUCAUGUCUAAUCAAUAUUCUAUUUUACCCUUAUGAGCAUGCUCCCUCUGAAUUAUUGACCCAUAAUAUUCAAUUUAAAAGCAGUGGAUCAUGCAUGAUUUCUCCCCCUUAAAACAAUAAGGUAUCGACAAAGUUAAAAAUAGAUACCUGUGAAGUAUCUCCCCCUUAAUGAUAGGACAUAUCUAAUUUGUGGAGAAAAUAAAAUUUCAUACCUCAUUGAGCUUUAAUCACAAAUUCGAUUUGUGUGGUUGACCAAAUGUGACGUCUUGCUUAUAAGAGUGUUAGUCAAUCAUAAAGGAGAAAUAACAUGUAAUUUAUGCUCAUUGAUAAAAUAUUGGAUUUAAGCCAAUUUUGAUAUACAUUAUAAGGCAAGUAUGAUAUGAUAAUUUAGAUUGCCUUGUGCUAAGAUCAUGCAAUGAAUAAUAAUCCAUGUGUGUGUUAUGGAUGAAGAUGAUCUUAACAUGUAUGGAUUAAAGAUUUUAUAAUGUUAUAAUCCAUAAGAUAUUAGUGAAUGAUAUGUAUAAAUCCAUA
rnacentral:lncRNA from 1 species